CCCAGUUCCUGGCACAGAGCCCUAAUGUAAUAUAAUAAAUUAAUAUUUGUCUUUUGUCCCCAGCUCUUGAAAUAUCCCUGGAGCAACAAAAGUUAAAGGAACAUCUUUUGUUAUCAAAACAAGCCUGUUUCAACCACACAGGAGUUUAAGUUAAUGAGUGACUUUUGGAAAGCCCCUAAGGAGGGGGGCUGGAUGCCAGGGGAACCAAGCAUGUGAUUAGAGAAGUAGAACUUUCAGCCCCACCUCCUGGCCUCUGGGGAGGGAAGAGAGGCUUGAGAUUGAGUUUAAUCACCAAGGGCCAAUGAUGUAAUCAACCAUGCCUACAUAAUGGAAGCACCAUAAAAACCCAAAGGACCCAUCAAGGUGUUGGGAGGAUGGUGCACCCGAAAGCACGUCAAAGCUCCCCACACUUCUCCACACCUCACCCUGUGCGUCUCCUCCAUCCUGCCAGGAGUUCCACAGGACUGGUUUUGCAAGGUACAGGUCACGAAGACCCCUCUGAUAAAACGAGAUGUGGUAAAGAAGCCAGCCAAAACCAAGAUGGUAAUGAAAGCGACCUCUGGACUGGGCGCGGUGGCUCACGCCUGUAAUCCCAACAUUUCGGGAGGCUGAGGCAGGCAUAUCACGAGGUCAGGAGAUCAACACCAUCCUCACUAACACGGUGAAACCCCAUCUCUACUAAAAAUACAAAA
rnacentral:lncRNA from 1 species